rnacentral:rRNA from 1 species
UGGGGAAUUUUCCGCAAUGGGCGAAAGCCUGACGGAGCAAUACCGCGUGAGGGAUGACGGCCUAUGGGUUGUAAACCUCUUUUUUCAGGGAGGAACAAAAUGACGUGUACCUGAAGAAUAAGCAUCGGCUAACUCCGUGCCAGCAGCCGCGGUAAGACGGAGGAUGCAAGUGUUAUCCGGAAUCACUGGGCGUAAAGCGUCUGUAGGUGGUUUAAUAAGUCAACUGUUAAAUCUUGAGGCUCAACCUCGAAAUCGCAGUCGAAACUAUUAGACUAGAGUAUAGUAGGGGUAAAGGGAAUUUCCAGUGGAGCGGUGAAAUGCGUAGAGAUUGGAAAGAACACCGAUGGCGAAGGCACUUUACUGGGCUAUUACUAACACUCAGAGACGAAAGCUAGGGUAGCAAAUGGGAUUAGAUACCCCAGUAGUCCUAGCUGUAAACAAUGGAUACUAGAUGUUGGACAGAUCGACCUGUGCACGUAUCAAAGCUAACGCGUUAAGUAUCCCGCCUGGGAAGUA